rnacentral:rRNA from 1 species
GGAAGCAGGGGAUCGCAAGGCCUUGCGGUUUUUGGAGCGGCCGAUGUCUGAUUAGCUAGUUGGUGGGGUAAAGGCCUACCAAGGCGACGAUCAGUAGUUGGUCUGAGAGGACGACCAGCCACACUGGGACUGAGACACGGCCCAGACUCCUACGGGAGGCAGCAGUGGGGAAUUUUGGACAAUGGGCGCAAGCCUGAUCCAGCAAUGCCGCGUGAGUGAAGAAGGCCUUCGGGUUGUAAAGCUCUUUCAGUCGAGAAGAAAAGGCUACGGUGAAUAAUCGUAGCUGAUGACGGUACCGACAGAAGAAGCACCGGCUAACUACGUGCCAGCAGCCGCGGUAAUACGUAGGGUGCGAGCGUUAAUCGGAAUUACUGGGCGUAAAGGGUGCGCAGGCGGCUUUGUAAGUCAGAUGUGAAAUCCCCGGGCUUAACCUGGGAAUUGCGUUUGAAACUACAAAGCUAGA